AACCGGAUUAGAUACCCGGGUAGUCCACGCCCUGAACGAUGUCUACUAGUUGUCGGGUUUUAAUUAACUUGGUAACGCAGCUAACGCGUGAAGUAGACCGCCUGGGGAGUACGGUCGCAAGAUUAAAACUCAAAGGAAUUGACGGGGACCCGCACAAGCGGUGGAUGAUGUGGAUUAAUUCGAUGCAACGCGAAAAACCUUACCUACCCUUGACAUGUCAGGAAUCCUCGAGAGAUCGGGGAGUGCCCGAAAGGGAACCUGAACACAGGUGCUGCGUGGCUGUCGUCAGCUCGUGUCGUGAGAUGUUGGGUUAAGUCCCGCAACGAGCGCAACCCUUAUCAUUAGUUGCUACGCAAGAGCACUCUAAUGAGACUGCCGGUGACAAACCGGAGGAAGGUGGGGAUGACGUCCAGUCCUCAUGGCCCUUAUGGGUAGGGCUUCACACGUCAUACAAUGGUACAUACGGAGGGCCGCCAACCCGCGAG
rnacentral:rRNA from 1 species